GACGAACGCUGGCGGCGUGCUUAACACAUGCGAGUCGAACGGAAAGGCCCCUUUGGGGGUACUCGAGUGGCGAACGGGUGAGUAACACGUGAGUAACCUGCCCUUGACUUCGGGAUAACUUCAGGAAACUGGGGCUAAUACCGGCUAGGAAUCCUUGCUGCAUGGUGGGGGUUGGAAAGCUUCGGCGGUUUUGGAUGGACUCGCGGCUUAUCUGCUUGUUGGUGGGGGAGUGGCUUACCAAGGCUUUGGCGGGUAGCCGGCCUGAGAGGGCGACCGGCCACAUUGGGACUGAGAUACGGCCCAGACUCCUACGGGGGGCAGCAGUGGGGAAUAUUGCACAAUGGGCGGGAGCCUGAUGCAGCAACGCCGCGUGCGGGAUGACGGCCUUCGGGUUGUAAACCGCUUUCAGCAGGGGCGAAGCUUGUGGUGACGGUACCUGCAGAAGAAGCACCGGCUAACUACGUG
rnacentral:rRNA from 1 species